UCUCCUUGUGCCCUCCAUCUUUCCCAACAUCAGGGUCUUUUCCAGGGUGUCUUCUCUUCUCAUGAGGUGGCCAAAGUAUUGGAGCCUCAGCUUCACGAUCUGUCCUUCCAGUGAGCACUCAGGGCUGAUUUCCUUCAGAAUGGAUAGGUUUGAUCUUCUUGCAGUCCAUGGGACUCUCAAGAGUCUCCUCCAGCACUAUAAUUCAAAAGCAUCAAUUCUUUGGCGAUCAGCCUUCUUUAUGGUCCAGCUCUCACUUCCAUACAUCACUACUGGGAAAACCAUAGCUUUAACUGUACAGACCUUUGUUG